GUUUGGACUUAGCUUGAGUUGGAUCAUAUUGGAGAGCGUUUGAGGUACAGACGCACAGCCUGGUGAUCCACCUGUUUAGGACACCCCCUUCUGCUAUUCGGAGUGCUCCUCUCAUCCCGGAGCUUAUAUUUUUGGUAUAUAUACUUGGUAGUGCAUUUAUACAUAUUCGUUCAUGGGUACGGCGGGGCCCUGUCCCGUCAUAUGAUUCUGUCGGUCUGUUUAGAGGUCUGUGGACAUGUUUGUGGGUUAGGCUCUUUCUGUACGGAUGCGUGUAUAUGUUGUGUUUGGGCGAUCCCAUUCGCCGCGGCGGCCGAUCCGCAUAUGUUUACAUGUUGCUUUGUUCGCCCUGUGUGGCCUUUGUUGGUAUUAUCUGUGCGCAGGGUUAAUUUGGAUAGUCUGUAAAACAUAGGAAACUCUGCCGAAAUUUUUCUGGAAAUUAUCUAAAUUUGAAAUAUAGCCUUGUCGA